rnacentral:rRNA from 1 species
CUAGCUUGCUAGUUGCUGACGAGUGGCGGACGGGUGAGUAAUACUUAGGGAUCUGCCUCUGUGUGGGGGAUAACUAUUGGAAACGAUAGCUAAUACCGCAUAACGUCUACGGACCAAAGAGGGCUUCGGCUCUCGCGCAGAGAGGAACCUAAGCGAGAUUAGCUUGUUGGUGAGGUAAAGGCUCACCAAGGCGACGAUCUCUAGCUGUUCUGAGAGGAAGAUCAGCCACACUGGAACUGAGACACGGUCCAGACUCCUACGGGAGGCAGCAGUGGGGAAUAUUGCACAAUGGGGGCAACCCUGAUGCAGCCAUGCCGCGUGUGUGAAGAAGGCCUUCGGGUUGUAAAGCACUUUCAGUUGUGAGGAAAGGUUAGUAGUUAAUACCUGCUAGCUGUGACGUUAACAACAGAAGAAGCACCGGCUAACUCCGUGCCAGCAGCCGCGGUAAUACGGAGGGUGCGAGCGUUAAUCGGAAUUACUGGGCGUAAAGCGCACGCAGGCGGUCUGUUAAGCUAGAUGUGAAAGCCCCGCGCUCAACGUGGGAGGGUCAUUU